rnacentral:rRNA from 1 species
AAGAAGCUUGCUUCUUCUGAUUUAGCGGCGGACGGGUGAGUAACACGUGGGCAACCUGCCCUGUAGAUUGGGAUAACUCCGGGAAACCGGGGCUAAUACCGAAUAAUCCAUUUCCUCACAUGAGGAGAUGUUAAAAGACGGUCUCGGCUGUCACUACAGGAUGGGCCCGCGGCGCAUUAGCUAGUUGGUGGGGUAAUGGCUCACCAAGGCGACGAUGCGUAGCCGACCUGAGAGGGUGAUCGGCCACACUGGGACUGAGACACGGCCCAGACUCCUACGGGAGGCAGCAGUAGGGAAUCUUCCACAAUGGACGAAAGUCUGAUGGAGCAACGCCGCGUGAGUGAAGAAGGUUUUCGGAUCGUAAAACUCUGUUGUGAGGGAAGAACAAGUACGAGAGUAACUGCUCGUACCUUGACGGUACCUCAUUAGAAAGCCACGGCUAACUACGUGCCAGCAGCCGCGGUAAUACGUAGGUGGCAAGCGUUGUCCGGAAUUAUUGGGCGUAAAGCGCGCGCAGGCGGUCCUUUAAGUCUGAUGUGAAAGCCCACGGCUCAACCGUGGAAGGUCAUUGGAAACUGGGGGACUUGAGUGCAGAAGAGGAAAGUGGAAUUCCAAGUGUAGCGGUGAAAUGCGUAGAGAUUUGGAGGAACACCAGUGGCGAAGGCGACUUUCUGGUCUGUAACUGACGCUGAGGCGCGAAAGCGUGGGGAGCAAACAGGAUUAGAUA